rnacentral:rRNA from 1 species
AACGUUUGGAAACGAACGCUAAUACCGCAUAACGUAUACGGAUGGCAUCGUCUGUAUACCAAAGGAGCAAUCCGCUGAAAGAUGGGCUCGCGUCCGAUUAGCUAGAUGGUGAGGUAACGGCCCACCAUGGCGACGAUCGGUAGCCGGACUGAGAGGUUGACCGGCCACAUUGAGACUGAGACACGGCCCAGACUCCUACGGGAGGCAGCAGUGAGGGAUAUUGGGCAAUGGGGGAAACCCUGACCCAGCGACGCCGCGUGAGGGAAGACGGUCUUCGGAUUGUAAACCUCUGUCUUUGGGGACGAAAAAGGACGGUACCCAAGGAGGAAGCUCCGGCUAACUACGUGCCAGCAGCCGCGGUAAUACGUAGGGAGCGAGCGUUGUCCGGAAUUACUGGGUGUAAAGGGAGCGUAGGCGGGAAGGCAAGUUGGAUGUGAAAACUGUGGGCUUAACCGACAGACUGC